CCCGCUUGGAGGAGGAAGCCCUUCGGGGUGUAAACUCCUGAACUGGGGACGAAAGCCCCGNGUAGGGGGAUGACGGUACCCAGGUAAUAGCGCCGGCCAACUCCGUGCCAGCAGCCGCGGUAAUACGGAGGGCGCGAGCGUUACCCGGAUUUACUGGGCGUAAAGGGCGUGUAGGCGGCCUGGGGCGUCCCAUGUGAAAGGCCACGGCUCAACCGUGGAGGAGCGUGGGAUACGCUCAGGCUAGAGGGUGGGAGAGGGUGGUGGAAUUCCCGGAGUAGCGGUGAAAUGCGCAGAUACCCGGGAGGAACGCCCGAUGGCGAAGGCAGCCACCUGGUCCACUUCUGACGCUGAGGCGCGAAAAGCGUGGGGAGCAAACCGGAUUAGAUACCCGGGUAGUCCACGCCCUAAACGAUGCGCGCUANGUCUUUGGGGUUUACCUGGGGGCCNAAGCCAACGCG
rnacentral:rRNA from 1 species